rnacentral:lncRNA from 1 species
GUGCCCACCUGUCUCUGCUGCCAGGGAGUUUGUUUUUCAAACAUUCCGUGGACAUUCUAGUCCCACAAAAAGCAGCUCAAUUCAGUAUUCACCAUGUCCUGACACUUUCAGCUGUGGCCAGACUCCCCACUUGCUGUGGACACAGAGCUGGGCAGGACCAGAGGGAUUAUCUGUUCAACCCUUCAUUUCACAGCUGGAGAAACAGGCUCAGAGAGGCAAAGGGGCUCGGCCAAGGUCACACAUUCAAGUAAGAGCAGUGGAGAUUCUGCCCCAGCCCUGGUCCUCUAAUCUAAUCCAUCAGCCCAUAGGAACCGAGCAGCCAUCCCCACGCACACGUGGGACCAGAGCCACUGACCCUGAGAGCCAGCAGGGCUUCCAGGCAACCCUCCCUCCCCGCCCCUCCUGAUUCCAAGCUCUGGAGACAAAAGAGCAGAGGUGAGGUGAGCACCCCAAUGUCACGGGCCAGGCAGCGCCCAGGGGGACGAGAACCCAGGGCUCCAGACUCCACCCUGGCUGCUUCCACCACACCCCCGUCCCCACCCUAGGCACCCUCAGCUCUCCAGCCACUCUGGACACAGCCCUGCAUGUCUCUAUGGCUGUGUGCGCCUCCUCCAUGGGGCCACAUCUGCGUCUGAUUGAAUAAACACCUGGGGGGACGACCAGUGAUCCCCUAAAUAGCACGCACCUGUGGGAUGAGGAGCGGCCAUCCCUUCCAUCCCCAUCAGCUCAGCCUCGACACCAGGAACUCGACAGCAUCCUUCACACUCAGGAAAUGUCGUCUCUGAGAACGAACCGCAUUUUCUGUAGUUAACGCGUAACAACUAGUCCUAUAAAUCUGAAUUAUCCCUGUAAAUCUAAAUGAAGCUCCCAGACUUAAAUGUAUUUAGGACACUUCAUUAAUAAACUG